rnacentral:rRNA from 1 species
AGUCGAACGGCAGCAUGAUCUAGCUUGCUAGAUUGAUGGCGAGUGGCGAACGGGUGAGUAAUACAUCGGAACGUGCCCUGUAGUGGGGGAUAACUAGUCGAAAGAUUAGCUAAUACCGCAUACGACCUGAGGGUGAAAGUGGGGGACCGCAAGGCCUCAUGCUAUAGGAGCGGCCGAUGUCUGAUUAGCUAGUUGGUGAGGUAAAGGCUCACCAAGGCGACGAUCAGUAGCUGGUCUGAGAGGACGAUCAGCCACACUGGGACUGAGACACGGCCCAGACUCCUACGGGAGGCAGCAGUGGGGAAUUUUGGACAAUGGGCGAAAGCCUGAUCCAGCAAUGCCGCGUGUGUGAAGAAGGCCUUCGGGUUGUAAAGCACUUUUGUCCGGAAAGAAAUGGCUCUGGUUAAUACCUGGGGUCGAUGACGGUACCGGAAGAAUAAUGACCGGCUAACUACGUGCCAGCAGCCGCGGUAAUACGUAUGGUCC